rnacentral:rRNA from 1 species
CCUACGGGUGGCAGCAGUGGGGAAUAUUGCGCAAUGGGGGCAACCCUGACGCAGCAACGCCGCGUGAUUGAAGAAGGCCUUCGGGUUGUUAAGAUCUUUAAUCGGGGACGAAUUUUGACGGUACCCGACGCAUCAGCACCGGCUAACUACGUGCCAGCAGCCGAGGUAAUACGUAGGGAGCAAGCGUUAUCCGGAUUUCCUGGGUGUAAAGGGCGUGUAGGGGGGCAUGUAAGACAGAAGUGAAAGCUGGGGGCUUAACCCCAAAACUGCUUUUGGAACUGGGGGUCUUGAGUGAUGGAGAGGCAGGCGGAAUUCCUGGUGUAGCGGUGAAAUGCGUAGAUAUUGGGAGGAACACCAGUGGCGAAGGCGGCCUGCUGGACAGUAACUGACGCUGAGGCGCGAAAGCGUGGGGAGCAAACAGGAUUAGAUACCCUUGUAGUC